UCAUCUUCGGGGGUAGAGCACUGUUUCGGCUAGGGGGUCAUCCCGACUUACCAACCCGAUGCAAACUACGAAUACCGAAGAAUGUUAUCACGGGAGACACACGGCGGGUGCUAACGUCCGUCGUGAAGAGGGAAACAACCCAGACCGCCAGCUAAGGUCCCAAAGUCACAGUUAAGUGGGAAACGAUGUGGGAAGGCACAGACAGCCAGGAUGUUGGCUUAGAAGCAGCCAUCAUUUAAAGAAAGCGUAAUAGCUCACUGGUCGAGUCGGCCUGCGCGGAAGAUGUAACGGGGCUAAACUGUGCACCGAAGCUGCGGCAGCGACACUAUGUGUUGUUGGGUAGGGGAGCGUUCUGUAAGCCUGCGAAGGUGGCCUGUGAGGGUUGCUGGAGGUAUCAGAAGUGCGAAUGCUGACAUAAGUAACGAUAAUGCGGGUGAAAAGCCCGCACGCCGGAAGACCAAGGGUUCCUGUCCAACGUUAAUCGGGGCAGGGUGAGUCGACCCCUAAGGCGAGGCCGAAAGGCGUAGUCGAUGGGAAACAGGUUAAUAUUCCUGUACUUGGUGUUACUGCGAAGGGGGGACGGAGAAGGCUAUGUUAGCCGGGCGACGGUUGUCCCGGUUUAAGCAUGUAGGCGGAGGUUCCAGGUAAAUCCGGUACCUUUUAACGCUGAGGUGUGAUGACGAGGCACUACGGUGCUGAAGUAACAAAUGCCCUGCUUCCAGGAAAAGCCUCUAAGCAUCAGGUAACAUUGAAUCGUACCCCAAACCGACACAGGUGGUCAGGUAGAGAAUACCAAGGCGCUUGAGAGAACUCGGGUGAAGGAACUAGGCAAAAUGGUGCCGUAACUUCGGGAGAAGGCACG
rnacentral:rRNA from 1 species